rnacentral:rRNA from 1 species
AAUGAACGUUGGCGGCGUGGAUUAGGCAUGCAAGUCGAGCGAGAACCCCGCAAGGGGGGACCGCGGCGAAAGGGACAGUAAUGUGUAGAUUAUCUGCCCUCAGGUCCGGGAUAGCUGCGGGAAACUGCAGGUAAUACCGGAUAACAUCUCCGGAUCAAAGGUGUGAUUCCGCCUGAGGAUGAGUCUGCAUCCUAUUAGCUAGUUGGUGGGGUAAUGGCCUACCAAGGCAUUGAUGGGUAGCAGGUGUGAGAGCACGACCUGCGUCAUUGGGACUGAGACACUGCCCAGACACCUACGGGUGGCUGCAGUCGAGAAUCUUCGGCAAUGGGCGCAAGCCUGACCGAGCGACGCCGCGUGUGGGAUGAAGGCCUUCGGGUUGUAAACCACUGUCAGAGGGGAUGAAAUGCAGGUGGGUUCUCCCAUCUGUUUGACAUAGCCUCAGAGGAAGGACGGGCUAAGUUCGU